rnacentral:pre_miRNA from 1 species
GGCCCAAAUUUGAAGUAAAGUCGAUUAGUACGAUCAUAUGACUAUACUGACGUACUCUACUUCAAGUUUGCGCCC